rnacentral:rRNA from 1 species
GCCGCGGUAAUUCCAGCUCCAAUAGCGUAUAUUAAAGUUGUUGCGGUUAAAAAGCUCGUAGUUGGAUCUCGGUUUCACUCAGGUGGUACACCUUGCGGUGUUCACUAUCUGGGUGGACGUUUCUGUUGGUUCCUCUUGGUGCUCUUCAUCGGGUGCCAUUUGGUGGCCAGCACGUUUACUUUGAAAAAAUUGGAGUGCUCAAAGCAGGCGUUACAGCCUGAACAUUAGUGCAUGGAAUAAUGGAAUAGGAUCUCGAUUCUAUUUCGUUGGCUUUCGGAGUCGAGGUAAUGAUUAAUAGGGACAGACGGGGGCAUUCGUACUGCGACGUUAGAGGUGAAAUUCUUGGAUCGUCGCAAGACGAACUACUGCGAAAGCAUUUGCCAAGAAUGUUUUCAUUAAUCAAGAACGAAAGUUAGAGGUUCGAAGGCGAUCAGAUACCGCCCUAGUUCUAACCAUAAACGAUGCCAACCGGCGAUCCGUCGUCGUUAAUUGAAUGACUCGACGGGCAGCCUCCGGGAAACCAGAGUGUUUGGGUUCCGGGGGAAGUAUGGUUGCAAAGCUGAAACUUAAAGGAAUUGACGGAAGGGCACCACCAGGAGUGGAGCCUGCGGCUUAAUUUGACUCAACACGGGAAAUCUCACCAGGCCCGGACACCGGAAGGAUUGACAGAUUGAGAGCUCUUUCUUGAUUCGGUGGGUGGUGGUGCAUGGCCGUUCUUAGUUGGUGGAGCGAUUUGUCUGGUUAAUUCCGAUAACGAACGAGACUCUGGCCUACUAACUAGAAGGUCUAUCCUUUAUGGGUAGGCCUCUGCUUCUUAGAGGGACGGGCGGCGUUUAGCCGCACGAGAAUGAGCAAUAACAGGUCUGUGAUGCCCUUAGAUGUUCUGGGCUGCACGCGCGCUACACUGAAGGAAUCAGCAUGUUCUCCCCUCCCUGAAAAGGGCGGGUAACCCGUUGAAACUCCUUCGUGAUGGGGAUUGGAGAUUGUAAUUAUUCUCCAUGAACGAGGAAUUCCCAGUAGGCGCGAGUCAUCAGCUUGCGUCGAUUACGUCCCUGCCCUUUGUACACACCGCCCGUCGCUACUACCGAUCGAGUGAUUUAGUGAGGACUUCGGACUGGUCUUCAAGUUGGCUUCGGUCGGCUCGAAGUUCCGGAAAGAUGCCCAAACUUGAUCACUUAGAGGAAGUAAAAGUCGUAACAAGGUUUCCGUAGGUGAACCUGCGGAAG